rnacentral:tRNA from 1 species
GAGGGUAUAGCCUAGUGGUAGAGCAGAUGCCUAACAUGCACAAGGUCCUGGAUUUAAUCCCCAGUACCUCUA